rnacentral:rRNA from 1 species
UGGGGAAUUUUGCGCAAUGGGCGAAAGCCUGACGCAGCAACGCCGCGUGGAGGAUGAAGGUGCUCUGCAUCGUAAACUCCUGUCGGCCGGGAAGAAGGGACGUCGCAGUCACUGGCGGCGUUCUUGACUGUACCGGCAAAGGAAGCCCCGGCCAACUCCGUGCCAGCAGCCGCGGUAAUACGGAGGGGGCAAGCGUUACUCGGAAUUAUUGGGCGUAAAGGGCGCGUAGGCGGUCCCGCGCGUCGGAGGUGAAAUUCCCGGGCUUAACCCGGGACGUGCCUCCGAUACGGCGGGACUUGAGUCCGGGAUAGGGGAGCAGAAUUCCCAGUGUAGCGGUGAAAUGCGUAGAUAUUGGGAGGAAUACCAGUGGCGAAGGCGGCUCCCUGGACCGGUACUGACGCUGAGGCGCGAAAGCGUGGGUAGCAAACAGGAUUAGAUACCCUGGUAGUCCACGCCGUAAACGAUGGGUGCUUGGUGUCGGGGGUAUCGACCCUCCGGUGCCGGAGCUAACGCAUUAAGCA